rnacentral:tRNA from 1 species
GGAGGGUUCGCAUAGUGGCCUAGUGCACACGCUUGGAAAGCGUGCAACCCGCAAGGGUUCGAGAGUUCGAAUCUCUCACCCUCCGCCA